rnacentral:rRNA from 1 species
CCUACGGGAGGCAGCAGUGGGGAAUAUUGGACAAUGGGCGGAAGCCUGAUCCAGCAACGCCGCGUGAGGGAUGACGGCCUUCGGGUUGUAAACCUCUUUCAGUACCGACGAAGCGAGAGUGACGGUAGGUACAGAAGAAGCACCGGCCAACUACGUGCCAGCAGCCGCGGUAAUACGUAGGGUGCGAGCGUUGUCCGGAAUUAUUGGGCGUAAAGGGCUCGUAGGCGGUUUGUCGCGUCGGGAGUGAAACACCGGGCUUAACUCGGUGCUUGCUUUCGAUACGGGCAGACUAGAGGUAUGCAGGGGAGAACGGAAUUCCUGGUGUAGCGGUGAAAUGCGCAGAUAUCAGGAGGAACACCGGUGGCGAAGGCGGUUCUCUGGGCAUUACCUGACGCUGAGGAGCGAAAGUGUGGGGAGCGAACAGGAUUAGAUACCCUGGUAGUCCACACCGUAAACGUUGGCGCUAGGUGUGGGAUCCAUUCCACGGGUUCCGUGCCGCAGCUAACGCAUUAAGCGCCCCGCCUGGGGNGGUACGGCGCGAGACGACGUACANAGAGUAGAGCGUGUGAGUUGCGACGACGACGACGAGGGAGGAGG